rnacentral:snRNA from 1 species
GUGCUCACUUCGGCAACAUAUAUACUAAAAUUGGAACAACACAGAGAAGAUUAGCAUGGCCACUGCACAAGAAUGACAUGCAAAUUCAUGAAGUGUUCCAUUUUUUU